UAUUGAUCUGUAGUGUUGAGUUCAGACAGACUAUUGAUCUGUAUUGGUGAGUUCAGUCAGACAGUCUAUUGAUCUGUAGUAGUGAGUUCAGACAGUCUAUUGAUAUGUAGUAGUGAGUUCAGACAGUCUAUUGAUCUGUAGUAGUGAGUUCAGACAGUCUAUUGAUCUGUAGUAGUGAGUUCAGACAGACAGCCUAUUGAUCUGUAGCAGUGAGUUCAGACAGACAGUCUAUUGAUCAGUAGCAGUGAGUUCAGACAGUCUAUUGAUCUGUAGUGGUGAGUUCAUUCAGACAGUCUAUUGAUCUGUAGUGGUGAGUUCAGACAGACUAUUGAUCUGUAGUGGUGAGUUCAGUCAGACAGUCUAUUGAUCUGUAGUAGUGCGUUCAGACUGUCUAUUGAUCUGUAGCAGUGAGUUCAGACAGACAGUCUAUUGAUCUGUAGUAGUGAGUUCAGACAGUCUAUUGAUCUGUAGUAGUGAGUUCAGACUGACAGUCUAUUGAUCUGUAGCAGUGAGUUCAGACAGACAGUCUAUUGAUCUGUAGUAGUGAGUUCUGAUAGUCUAUUGAUCUGUAGUAGUGAGUUCAGACAGACAGUCUAUUGAUCUGUAGCAGUGAGUUCAGACAGUCUAUUGAUCUGUAGCGGUGAGUUCAGACAGUCUAUUGAUCUGUAGUAGUGAGUUCAGACAGUCUAUUGAUCUGUAGCAGUGAGUUCAGUCAGACAGUCUAUUGAUCUGUAGUAGUGAGUUCAGACAGUCUAUUGAUCUAUAGUAGUGAGUUCAGACAGACAGUCUAUUGAUCUGUAGUAGUGAGUUCAGUCAGACAGUCUAUUGAUCUGUAGUAGUGAGUUCAUUCAGACAGUCUAUUGAUCUGUAGUAGUGAGUUCAGUCAGACAGUCUAUUGAUCUGUAGUAGUGAGUUCAGUCAGACAGUCUAUUGAUCUGUAGUAGUGAGUUCAGACAGUCUAUUGAUCUCUAGUAGUGAGUUCAGACAGUCUAUUGAUCUGUAGCAGUGAGUUCAGUCAGACAGUCUAUUGGUCUGUAGUAGUGAGUUCAGUCAGACAGUCUAUUGAUCUCUUGUAGUGAGUUCAGACAGUCUAACCGGCUGUUUGUCACCUGAUCAAUCAUUUUCACUGAUUUGGAGCACCUGUGAAGGCAUGGAGGGCGUCAGUCAUUCAGAAGAACAAACUUCAGAGGGAAAACUCCAAGUUCACUCACAGGUUCAGUCCAAAGACGCCAAUGGUAAAAGGCUUAAAU
rnacentral:lncRNA from 1 species